rnacentral:rRNA from 1 species
UACGUAGGGAUCAAGCGUUGUUCGGAUUUACUGGGCGUAAAGGGCGCGUAGGCGGCACGAUAAGUCACGUGUGAAAUCUCCGGGCUUAACUCGGAACGGUCAAGUGAUACUGUCGCGCUAGAGUGCGGAAGGGGCAAUCAGAAUUCUUGGUGUAGCGGUGAAAUGCGUAGAUAUCAAGAGGAAUACCAGAGGUGAAGACGGGUUGCUAGGCCGACACUGACGCUGAAGCGCGAAAGCCAGGGGAGCAAACGGG